AAGCGUUACUCGGAAUUACUGGGCGUAAAGCGUGCGUAGGUGGUUGUUUAAGUCUGUUGUGAAAGCCCUGGGCUCAACCUGGGAAUUGCAGUGGAUACUGGGCGACUAGAGUGUGGUAGAGGGUAGUGGAAUUCCCGGUGUAGCAGUGAAAUGCGUAGAGAUCGGGAGGAACAUCCAUGGCGAAGGCAGCUACCUGGACCAACACUGACACUGAGGCACGAAAGCGUGGGGAGCAAACAGGAUUAGAUACCCUGGUAGUCCACGCCCUAAACGAUGCGAACUGGAUGUUGGGUGCAAUUUGGCACGCAGUAUCGAAGCUAACGCGUUAAGUUCGCCGCCUGGGGAGUACGGUCGCAAGACUGAAACUCAA
rnacentral:rRNA from 1 species